GACGAACCGUGCAAACGUUAUUCGGAAUCACUGGGCUUAAAGCGUGCGUAGGCGGCUCAGAAAGUUGGGUGUGAAAUCCCUCGGCUUAACCGAGGAAUUGCGCCCAAAACUACUGGGCUUGAGGGAGUUAGAGGUGAGCGGAACUCACGGUGGAGCGGUGAAAUGCGUUGAUAUCGUGAGGAACACCGGAGGCGAAAGCGGCAUCCUGGACCGAGAUUGACGCUGAGGCGCGAAAGCCAGGGGAGCAAACGGG
rnacentral:rRNA from 1 species